rnacentral:lncRNA from 1 species
GAGCCGCAUUGCAGGUGCGGGGCAGCGCCCCGGGGUCCGGCCCCACGCCGGCGGGAUGCUGCGGGCCUCAGCUCCCCGCCCGCGUCACACCUGCCGCCUCCCGGACCCGCAGCCCUGGCGACCGGGUGGCUCCGCGUCACCUGGAUGUCAGCAUGGCAGCCACAAACCUGGAGAACCAGCUGCACAGUGCGCAGAAGAACCUGCUCUUCCUCCAGCGGGAACAUGCCAGCACACUCAAGGGGCUGCACGCUGAGAUCCGGCGGCUGCAGCAGCACUGCACAGAUCUAACAUAUGAGCUGACACUCAAAAGUUUCGAACUGACAGAGCUGGCACUCCAGAGACGCUGACCCCAGCUGACGCUCAAGCUGUUUUAACUUCAGCACCUUCAGAUUCUGGAGACGUUCUUUUACGCAGAGACGGCUCUUCCAGAACGACGGAGCUGAAGAGGCGCUGUGAAGAGCUGGAAGCCCAGCUGAAGGCCAAAGAGGAGGAAAACCGCAAGCUGCUUCAAGAACUGGAGCAGAAGAAUGCCGCCAUUGCUGUGCUGGAGAACACGGUCCGCGAGAGAGAGAAGAAGUACCUGGAGGAGCUGAAGAUGAAGAGCCACAAGCUGAGCAUGCUGUCGGGCGAGCUGGAGCAGCGCGCCAGCACCGUGGCCUACCUCACCUCACAGCUGCAUGCGGCCAAGAAGAAGUUGCUGAGCUCCAGUGGCACCUCGGAUGCCAGCCCCGCCGGCAGCC